UCUUAUCAUAGCCAUUGUGGCAUCAUAGUGAUGUCAUAGCCAUUGUAACAUAGUGGCACAGCACAUUGCCUUUUCUAGGUUUGGAUAUACAAAUACUUAUCAUUGUGUUACCAUUGCCUACAGUAUUCAGCACAGUAACAUGCUGCCCAGGUUUAUAGCCUAAAAGCCACAGGCUACACCAUCUAAGUUUGUAGAAGCACACUCUGUGAUGUUCGCACAACGAUCACCUGAUAUAUUUCUUGGAAUGUAUCUUUGGUAUCCCUGCUGCUAAGUGACCCAUUACUGGAUCCAGUACAACAGAUUGUAUAUUACAACUGUGUAAUGUUGGAGGUGUUCAAAGUCAAAGGGGAGCCUUCAGAAUGAAGACCCAGAGAUACAGGAGAAGCUAUCUGAUUUUACGCUCAGGUUUGAUGAAGCAGAGAAAUGUGACUGGACAAAAGAAGGGUAUGACCUAAUGGAAAUGAACUGAGUGGAGAAACCUCGCAAGGCCUGGCUGUCCAGAUUCUUCUUGGCCUCCCUGUGCAGCAUUCCUUUCUCCCAGGCGUGGGGUAGGACCUGUCUGGGAUGAAGGUCUUAGUUUCUUUAUGGCCAACUGGUAUACAGAAGGAUGGUGGAAGGAACUGGCUAAUUGCCAAGGACCAUGCAGCCUUUGCAUAUUCUGAAGUAAGACCAACCUCCGUCCUUCUUCAUGCUCCCAUAAGACUCUUCCUCCAUAAAACCCAGACUCGUUCCUUUUCUUUAAGGUAUUUCUUGUUGAUGAAUGUCCUCCUAUUGCAACAGCCUGAAUAAAAAUCAUAACCUAAUUUACUGGUGGAUUUUGUCUUUCAUAGUUUCAUAAGGAGGGGACUUGUGUUGAGAGGGUUUAUUUAUAGCCUUAAAGUGUCUGUUGGAAAAUCAGCAGCUGACUAUAGCGAGUGACAAAAGAACUCUUGACAAUAGAUAACAGACAGCCAAAGGGUCUGCUCCCUCAGCAGAAAGCCAGCAUGAAGCUUGGUUUCAGAGCAGGGAAUAAUUAUUACUUCCAGAGGCUGACAGAAACUUGAUUCAAGCAGAUGGCUGGACAAAAAUAUAUUGUUGGAAGUAAUUUACCAGCAUAAAAGGUAAAUGUCACUCUACAUAAUUUCCCCAUGAAAUCAACUAUCUCCAAUGUGCUAGCCACAAAAGACUCAGUUCUUCCCUGUCUGGGGCUCUGGUUGUAAAGAGAUGGAGUGGAGGCAGAAGUCCCUGGAAGAGGGUGACUGUCAUCCAUCACAUGUCUACAGCCUCUUGCUUCCCCUCUUGCCACGUGAUCUCUGUACAGGGCAGCUCCCCUUUGCCUUCCAUUAUGAGUAGAAGUAGCCCAAGGCUUUCACCAGAUGCUCAAUCUUUUAGGCAGCAGAAUUGCGAGCCAAAUAAACCCGUUGUCUUUAUAAAUUACCCAGCCUCAGGUAUUCCUAUGUAGCAACACUAAAUGGACUAAGAUAAACCACUACCUACUAUUCAUAUUCAAAGAAAUAUUCCCUAGACAGACACCUUCACUCCUGUCCAGGGCACAUACCAGGAGCACCAAAUUCAUCAGCAGUCUAUAACUGGGCUUACUUACAGCAUUUGCAGGCAUUUGCUGUCCUCGGAUUAGCAACGAGCUGAUGAGUCAUGCUGAAGACCUUGAUACUGGCCAAGUCCUCACAAAAUUGAUUCAUCUUCUAGAAGCUGACAAGUAGGAGGUUAUAUGUCACCAAAAGAAAGACUAGUAACUAUUUGAUCAAAUCCAACCCAUUUUAUAUUUCCAAAUAAUCUCCAUUAAGAAUGUAAUUUGACAUCAAAAACAGGCCUGCUUAGAGAUAGAAUAUGAAAAUGAAAUGGAAACAUAUGAGCAUUGCCAAGAUGUUGGGUUUGUUUUUUAUUUUUAAGUGCUGAAACCUGGAUUUCAUAGCCUGUGCUUUGAAUUAAAAAUAGCGAUCAGAAUUACUGCCAUAUAUUUUGCAUAAGUUUAAUAGACAAGGCUUAAUUGGCUCACUGAACUGUGUCUUUGUGAGACUUUAAUUUUCCUGUAAGAACCGUAAAUGCCAACAAGAUAGACGUCCCUGUUCUUCUAAGCUCUGUUUAUAGUUCCAAGAAGUAAACAGGCAGUUAUUACAUUAAAAACAUUCCCUGUAUGCCAGCAACAUCUAAUUUUAAUCUGUGGGAGUUUUAGAGGAAAAGGAAUAGAUGUCAUAGAAAAGAACCCCCAAAUAUGCCUAAUACUUAAAACUUGAAGCCUGAUCUUGAUUCCACUGUGGAUUAAUAAACCACGUUUCUCAAUGUCACUGUCAUCUGGAUGCAUAGGAUAUUCGCCACUUAGUUUGUCAACAAGAGUCUCUUAGUUUCUAAAUUGCUCUGAGAUCGGAUUUUGGAGGCAUAUUUAUCUUGCGUACUCAUGGCAAGGAGUGCUAUUUGUCAAACUGGAUGUAAAAUAAAUUAAAUGGAAUUCCGCUGCCCGUAUACAUUAAUGCCUCCCAAAGAGACCAACGUGCUAACUUGGGCAGGACUUACAAAAGCUCAGUUGAAGUAUUACCUCCUCUGUGGCGAACUUAAUUGCUCCCUCUGUGCUGGCCAUAGUUGCUGGGGGUUAUAGCUGCCUCCCCCAUAGGCUGAGAUCCUGCAGGGCAGAGACUAUGUCUUAUUCAUCUUUGAAUCUCUGGUAACUUGCAUAGUGUUUUGUAAUCAGCAAGAAUUUGCUCAAUGACUGUAGGUAUUCCUUUAAUGAUAGUCAACUGUUAGAUCAGAAUCCACCCCAACUCUGAGUAUGCUCUGAAGUGUGCCACAGUUCAUAGCGCCUUAUCUUUAAAGUCCUUAUAAAGAUACUGAGGGACUAUGCAGUUUCUGUUUCUACACCACAAAUGUCUGCAGGACGUGAUUCUACCCUCAUACUCUCAGAGCUCUGGACGGGUGAAGAAGAUUGGAAAAACCCUAAUAGCCAAAAGAAUUCAACUCAAUGGUUCAACAAAACAUCUCCUCUACCAGGCACUGUUCUAAGCAUGUUAUACCUUUCAUCUCAUGGAAUCCUCACUGUGAGCAUGGGCGGGUACUGUUACUGUCUGUAUGUUACAUGUGGGGAAACUGGCACUCAAAGGUGGAGUAACUUGUCCAAGUGAUAGAGGCUUACUAUUUCCCAUACCUCUCGCUUCCUAAGAAGCCAGGCAAAUGAAUCAUUUCUCCUCUGCAUUUCCAUAGACUCGAUACUCAGGCACAGGCUUGAUUCAUCAUGUUGUAAUUGGAACUUUACGUCUGUCUCAUUGGUUAAACAGUGAGUUCCUGGAGAAGAUUAUUGGUAAUCUUUUCUCUUCCCUGCUUAGCAGAGUGACUGGUGUAUACCAGCCUCUGCUUGAGUGUUUGCUGAAUAAGUGAAUGAGGGGAGGCUCUGUCAAAAGAUACCACACCUGGGGAACUCCCAGAGAAAGGGAUGAAGACAGACUCAUCUUAUUGCCUCGGGGCUGUGAGUGUGUGUGUGUGUGUGUAUGUGUGUAUCCAACAGCAACUUUCAACAGCAGGCCACCAAAGCCUAGUGGAACUAACUGGCGUUUAAACCACAUACCUUAUGUUUUGCUAGAGCAAAAGUAGUUAUAAAAAGAAUUUUUAAGACAGAGUUUUGUUCUGUUACCCAGACGGGAGUGCAGUUGCACGAUCUCGGCUGACUGCAACCUCCGCUUCCUAGGUUCAAGCGACUCUCCAGCCUCGGACUCCUGAGUAGCUGAAAUUACAGGUGCUGGCCAUCCAACCUGGUUAAUUUUUGUAUUUUUAGUAGAGAUGGGGUUUCACAAUGUUUCCCAGAAAAAGCUCAAGUGAUCCACCUGCCUCAUCCUCCCAAAGUGCUGGGAUUAUAGGGGUGAGCUACCACACCUGGCCCUAAAAUAUUUUUUGAAGUUUUUUCCAAAGUAUUAAAAAGUCCAAAUAGUUUUUCAAAGUAUGUCAUUAAUACUUAAGCCUGGCAAUUCCACUUCUAGGAGAUUAUGCUAAGCAUCAUCAUGCUUAUAUGUGUAGAGGCCACAAACACAAACAUGUGUGGGGCUGAGCAGAUGGAAGGAGCUGGGUAAAGAAUGUGCAUUCUCUGGAGUGGGGGGUGGGAAGGACAGUGGCAUGCUGGAAAAAGCUUGCCUGUUACUGUGAUUUGAGGACAGGGAUCCAGAGUAGCCAAAGGUUGUUUUUCAAUAGGGCCUAGAAAUCUCAAUUUAAAAAUAUUGGCUGUGGUGGACUGCAAAAAAUGGACCAAAAUUAUUCCCCUCCUGUCUCCAUGCCUUUUGGUAGAGCCCUCCUGCCCAGACUCUGAGCUGGCACAUGACUGGCUGUGGCCAGAGAUGUCAGCAAAAGGGAUGCAAACAGAGGAAAGAUAUUUGCACAUGGGGGCUUGCCUUCUUGCUGCCCGGCGAACCCCCUCCACUACUACCAAGUAAAGAUGACAGGGUAACCUGACAGAUCAAAGGCAUGUGACCUAACCACAUGUGACCCGUUGCCCCAGGAAAUAGACUGUGACUUCCCAGACACAUGAGUGAGGCCACCCUAGGGCGUCCUGCCUCAGCCAACCCACCAGCUGACCACAGAUGCACAAGAGAGCCCCCAGCAGAGAUCAGCUGAGCUGGCCCAGAGCGGAAGAGCAAGCCCAGACAGCUCACAGAAUUAUGGGCUCAAUUUUAAGCCAUACAUUUGUUGUUUUAAACCAUUAAAUCUUGGGGGUGGUUUGCUAUAUAAAAAAGCUAAUUGAGAACAAAACUAAAAUACGUUUGGCACUAAACAAAGCAGGGAUCUAGUUCACUGUAACCUCUGAUGAAUGUAAAGAUUUGACCACAAACACUCUAUUCCUUGCAUCACUGUUUAUAAUAAUGAAAAAGCAAAACCAACCUAAAGAUCCAUGCAGAGAAGUGGUUAAGAUGUGAUGGCACACCUACAUACUGGAAAGGUACCUCACCACUGAAAAUGAGGGCACAGAAGAGCGGCAAAGCAUAGACUAUCGACCCUUGCUAAGUGUGCCAUCAAAUUUUGAUCAACGGGUAAAAUUUCAUUGCCCUCCUGGAACACGUACUCUUGGGGAGAUGGAACACAACACUGACUGGAUCAUCAGGUGAUGUAGAGGCCAUCAUGCUGUAAGGAAGACAUAAAAUCUCAGAGUAAAGCCCAGACUGUGUUAAACUUUGCUUUUUGAGGGUAUUAGAAUGCACAGAGGGGAGCUGUAAACAGCUCUAUUCAAAUAGUGUAAUGUGAUUCCAAAGAGGGACGGAGCAAAAAGUGGGACAAGGGUUUUGAGAGUGAAAGACAUCGCCCUACUUAGUAGCUCAGUGUCUUUUAAUCGCUUCAAACAUGCCACCAAAAAUUAUAGGACUUGAAAGUGUGUUGUGAACACAGGGGAUUUUAGAAAUCAUUGGCAUAGAGAAAUAAUGACACAGAAAGACAGUUUUAAGUUAUAUAAAAGAGGCCAAUUGUAAAGGAGCGGGUACAAUAUAAUCCCAUUGUUAUAAAAUUUAGAACUUAAUUUUAAGCCAUGAAUAUAAAGACCAUUUGGAGUAUGCCACUGAGGAAUAUUAAAAAGAUGCAUCAUUUUAAUUACACAUUUUAGUCUCUAUAGUCCUCCCAUUGGCAAAAAAAAAUAAGUCAACUGCAUUAUCAGUUGGAAAAUACAACACUUUUAUAAUGAAAUGCAGGCAAAAUCCUCUUCUUUUUAUAAAAAGAAUAUGCAGGCCUAGGAAACUAAUUGGAGGACAGAGAUAAAAAUUGGUAUGUACAGAGUAGGGAUAAUUUUAUUUUUCUUCAUCUUAUUUUUUUUUCAAACUGCCAUAAUCAUGUACUUUAUGUUGAGAAAAUUUAAUAAAAGUUAGUUUUAAAAACAUUAGGGGCCACACUCAUACAUGCAUAUGCGCGCGCGCGCACACACACACACGCACACACACACACACUCUCUCUCUCUCUAACCCAACCCAAAGUGAUACAAGACUAUAUAUUAAUAAAUAUACUUUCUGUCAGUGCCUGCAAAUGCUCAUGCCACCUCUAUGCACUCAUUCAGAGUUUUCCUGGGGGUAAAUAGUCUCUGGAAUUGUAGAAUCUUCCCCCAUGCAAAAACACAGAAAAUCCCUGCAGGCACAUCACCUCCCCAGUUCUCUUAGGAGGCAGGCAGCUGCUGUGUAGCAUUAUUCUUCAUGGCCAGAGGGAGAACCAAGAUAGGGAUUCAGCUGCUCUGUUCUUCUACUCAGCAAGUCUUCUGCAAGCACGUGAGCAGGCCCAGGGAGGUGCUGCUGCCAUUUGGUGGUGAAGACACUCUGCUCAUUAAGGGCAACAAGUCAGAGCUCUCUAAGGGCCCCCUCGGCCCUGUCUGUCUGGCCCAUCAUGGACUUGUUCUUCACUAAUUGUCUCUCACUGCUGACAGAGCCUGCACGGUCUUUAUGUGUGACAGAUUCCUUGCAAAUGGUGAAUGGCGGAGAGAUGACCCAGCUAAUCAUCAAACCUGCUUCUAAAAUGCCAUCCAGUCGGAUGCAAGCAGAGCCCAGCUCUACUCACUCAUCAAUGAAUGUGACUCUGAGCUGUGAGAACAAAAGCCAAAGGAACUCUCCAUUAGGAAACUAAGGGGGAAGACAGCAAUGUAACAAGUCCCAGGUUCAAAAUGACAAGUGAUUCACUGAAGAUGCCACAGCAGUACAGCCUAUCACUGGGCACAGGGAUAUAGCCAAAAGAAUGAGAAUUUUACAAGAUAAUGAAUUAUUGGCUGGGCUACAAAAUGGAAAAUUCAAGCUGAUAAGGCCAGUGGACUAUCCUUUUGAACUGAAUUCAAUGAAAGAAUAAAGUGUGGCACAGUAGCUCUUUUUUAGUAAUGGAAACAUGGUUACAAGAUGCCUGAGAGGACGUAAUCCACACACUAUUUUCAUCUUUUUAAACACUCACUUCAUGCUCAACUCUGCCAUUCUAUAAAUUUAUUCUUGGAAUGGAGAGAAGUAAAAAGCAUGAUUUUUUUUCCCUCCAUUUUGAAAAAUCCUGAGUUAUGUUAGAAGUAGGAAACACAUUCUAUAAUUACUAAGAAGGAGAGAUAACAGAUUGGCCCCAUUGUAAAAUUUAUAAAAUCCAAUCAAUCCCAUUUUAAAGCCUAGUAAGAAAUGUGGCAAUAGUAUCUCCUCCCCAUGCCCUCAGCUUUCAGCCACUAUUCAGCUUUGCCUGUGGUCUAACUAUACCUUCAGCCACAGCAGUGGCAAAUUAACAGCUGCCAUUUCCUGAAAGCUGACAAUGAGCUGCAUCUGGAUGUGCUCCUGGCGGACAUAAUUGCUUUAAUCAUCACAAAGACCUCAGAGGUGAGUACAAUCAUUUUCCCAUCCUACCAACGAGGAAACUGAGGCGUAGAGAGGGUAAGUAACUUGUGCGAGGCCAUACAGCUAGAAGGUGGGGACCAGGAUUCGAGCUUCUUCAAUGAGCAUGCAAGAGAGAAGGGGAGAUGCCUCGUGGAGCAGUUGGAAAGGGCUCAAGAGCCGUCGCCCAAGCUCAUUCACCCUGGGCCAAUCGCUUAAUCUCUCUACAGAAGGUGAACCACCUUGCCCACUGCCUCACAGGAUUGCUGAGAAGUCCAAAUGAGAUCAAAUACAGGAAAAACCUUGAAAAUAGCAAAGCAUUCUCAAAGCACCCUGUGCUAUUGAUAAAAGGACAGAAGACUAAAUCACACUCCUUAGGAGCACAACACUUCAAUCAUUCUGGCUUCAAUGGAAAGACCACACCCCCUCUCCUCCCUCGACUUAAUGCUUUCAAUAAACAGCACAGGAUUUUCUUGCGCAAUCUUUUAAAGAUGAAGGGCUCAGGUAGGCAUGCUGGUACUUGAACUGGUCUUUGCAGGGAGCUUUAGUGUCUUACAAUAUUUAAUACAGACAUCCUGCCUGAGCUACUUAUCCUGACUUGGAAAAGUAACCAUUUCACUGUUACUACUAAUUCUGUUCCAAAAACAAAAAAAAAAGACUAUUGUAAUUUCAUACCCUUAAUCUAUGCAACACAGGAAUGAGAAGGAAACAAAAAAAACCAACACAGUACUUUCUCAUGAACGAGACACAUUAUA